AACGUAGGACGCAAGCGUUAUCCGGAAUUACUGGGCGUAAAGCGCGUGUAGGUGGUUAGAUGAGUCACUGUUGAAAGCUCCCGGCUAAACUGGGAGAGGUGCGGUGAGACUGUCUGGCUAGAGUAUGGGAGAGGGAUGCAGAAUUCCGGGUGUAGUGGUGAAAUGCGUAGAGAUCCGGAGGAAUACCAGAGGCGAAGGCGGCAUCCUGGCCUAAAACUGACACUGAGACGCGAAAGCAUGGGGAGCGAACGGG
rnacentral:rRNA from 1 species